rnacentral:rRNA from 1 species
AUUGAACGCUGGCGGCAGGCCUAACACAUGCAAGUCGAGCGAGCGGCGGACGGGUGAGUAAUGUAUGGGGAUCUGCCUGAUAGAGGGGGAUAACUACUGGAAACGGUAGCUAAUACCGCAUACCAUCAGAUGUGCCCAGAUGGGAUUAGGUAGUUGGUUGGGUAAAGUCUCACCAAGGCGACGAUCGCUAGCUGGUCUGAGAGGAUGACCAGCAACACUGGAAAUGAGACACGGUCCAGACUCCUACGGGAGGCAGCAGUGGGGAAUAUUGCACAAUGGGGGCAACCCUGACGCAGCCAUGCCGCGUGUAUGAAGAAGGCCUUCGGGUUGUAAAGUACUUUCGGUAGGGAGGCGUUAACUACAGAAGAAGCACCGGCUAACUCCGUGCCAGCAGCCGCGGUAAUUC